rnacentral:snRNA from 1 species
GGCCAUCUAUCUAGCUGCAAGCACCUGACACCCCACUGAUUGCCAGGAUCAAUGUUAAUGACCUGGCUGAUGGUGUCCCUUUCCUCCCUAACUGCUCCAAAGGUGUCCAUUCCACAGAGUGGCACACUCAGUCAAAGUGGAUGACCUUCACUGCAGAGGAGGGCCAGUCAUUGGCCAAGGGUAUUUGAGUAGCUGCUGGAACCUCUAAACAAGCUCUCAAGUCUUCUCAAGAACACAGUGCUCCAUCCUGAAGGAAGGGCUUGCUGGUUGUACCCU